rnacentral:rRNA from 1 species
GGGCGCAAGCCUGAUCCAGCCAUGCCGCGUGGGUGAAGAAGGCCUUCGGGUUGUAAAGCCCUUUUGUUGGGAAAGAAAAGCCAUAGGACUAAUACCCGAUUGUUCUGACGGUACCCAAAGAAUAAGCACCGGCUAACUUCGUGCCAGCAGCCGCGGUAAUACGAAGGGUGCAAGCGUUACUCGGAAUUACUGGGCGUAAAGCGUGCGUAGGUGGUGGUUUAAGUCCGUUGUGAAAGCCCUGGGCUCAACCUGGGAAUUGCAGUGGAUACUGGGUCACUAGAGUGUGGUAGAGGGUAGCGGAAUUCCUGGUGUAGCAGUGAAAUGCGUAGAGAUCAGGAGGAACAUCCGUGGCGAAGGCGGCUACCUGGACCAACACUGACACUGAGGCACGAAAGCGUGGGGAGCAAACAGGAUUAGAUACCCUGGUAGUCCACGCCCUAAACGAUGCGAACUGGAUGUUGGGUGCAAUUUGGCACGCAGUAUCGAAGCUAACGCGUUAAGUUCGCCGCCUGGG